rnacentral:rRNA from 1 species
GAUGAACGCUGGCGGCGUGCCUAAUACAUGCAAGUCGAGUGAAGCGGGGACGGGUGAGUAACACGUGGAUAACCUCCUAUAAGACUGGGAUAACUUCGGUAAACCGGAGCUAAACCGGACAUUCAUAGAUGCAUCCGCGCUGCAUUAUCUCGUUGGUAAGGUAACGGCUUACCAGGGCAACGAUGCAUAGCCGACCUGGGAGGAGGUACUGCCGCACUGGAGCUGGGACACGGUCCAGACUCUUAGGCGAGGCAGCAGUAGGGCAUCGUCCGCAAUGGGCGGAAGCCGGACGGGGCAACGCCUCGUGGGUGAUGAAGGUCUGCGGUUCGUAAAACUCUGUUAUUAGGGAAGCGGUACCUAAUCAGAAAGCCACGGCUAACUACGUGCCAGCGGCGCCGGUAAUA